rnacentral:lncRNA from 10 species
CUUGGAUCUUUGAGAUGAAGAGUUUAAAGAGUGUUAGGAAAUUCUUUACCAAAGCCAAUUUAACCAGUGAUGGACACACUAAUAGCUCUGACUUCACCAAGAUACAAUAUAUCCAUGCAACAGAAUUAUACUUGUAUCCCAUACAUUUAUACAAAUAAAAUAACACUUAAAAAAUAGCUCUCUCUUCUUUUUCUUUUUGUUUCCUUUGGAUCUUCAAUUACAUGUGUGUUAUACUGUUUAUUAUUAUCCUAUAUGUCUCUCCCACUUGGUACUGGUAUUUUUGUUUUUUGUUUAUUUUUUAUUCUUAAUACAUAGAUUUUCUCCCUAUUUUCACCUUUGAUCAUUUUCUAUUUACCCAUUUUUAAGUUCACUGGUCCUUUCUGUGGCUGUAUGUUGUCUGUUAAGUUUAUUCUAUAAUGUUUAAGGAUUACAUUUUUCAGUUCUGGAGUUUUCACUUGAUCCUUUUAAUAAAUGAAUUUCUUUUCUCUAUUGGACAUUUCCAGCCAUCCUUUCCUUCAUUUUGUAUAUAUUUUUUCUCUAUUUUCUUUAAUAUACUUGUGCUAGUUAUUUAAUGCCUUGCUAGUAUUAGCAAUGUCUAGCUGAGAUUGCAACGUCUCAGUCAAUGUCAGGCAGCAUCUUUCCACUGUUUUUUUUAAAACCUUUUUCUCAUGCUCUUACAGUAUAAGAUGGAAAUAUCUCUACAUCUUUUCAGUCCAACUCUAGGCUUGCUCUCCGUAUACGCCAUAAUGCACCAAAGUUCCGUGGUAGAGAUUCAGUGGGUAAAAAGAAGUAGCUUUGAUUUCAAGACUUCCAAAGUUCUAGCAGGUCAUGGCGGUCUGCAUGGCUGUUGAAAUAUCUAUUGUUCUUUCCUUGAUCUAGCAGACAUCCUUUGCCUUUGUCAGGCCCAGUAUUCUACCAGUAUUUACCCAGAUCUUGGACAAUGGUCUCACGUGGGUGAGCAGCUUUUGAUCUUUGCUUAUCCUGGAAGAGAUCUUCCAGUAAUAUUUAGUUCCUUCACAUUUCUGUGCAUGUACAGAUAGAAGACGCCUGUAAUUUAUAUUAUUAUUGUUGUUGUUGUUAUUAUUUUGGCAGGAGAAAAGCUUGUGUAAUUCUCUACACCAGCAGUUGUCAAAUUACUGCCCGAUCAGGGCCAAAUCUAGUCUGUAACAUAUUUGUUUAUAGCCAGUAAUCUAA